CCACCAGACUCCUACGGGAGGCAGCAGUGGGAGAUAUUGCACAAUGGGGGAAACCCUGAUGCAGCGACGCCGCGUGGGUGAAGGAGCACCUCGGUGCGUAAAGCCCUAUCGGCAGGGAAGAAACAGACGGUACCUGACUAAGAAGCCCCGGCUAACUACGUGCCAGCAGCCGCGGUAAUACGUAGGGGGCAAGCGUUAUCCGGAUUCACUGGGUGUAAAGGGAGCGUAGACGGCGACGCAAGUCUGGAGUGAAAGCCCGGGGCCCAACCCCGGGACUGCUCUGGAAACUGCGGCGCUGGAGUACGGGAGGGGCAGGCGGAAUUCCUGGUGUAGCGGUGAAAUGCGUAGAUAUCAGGAGGAACACCGGCGGCGAAGGCGGCCUACUGGACCGUGACUGACGUUGAGGCUCGAGAGCGUGGGGAGCAAACAGGAUUAGAUACCCGUGUA
rnacentral:rRNA from 1 species